UUACUUCGUAGGCGUUAGAGAGAAGAUUCUAAUAUCUAAACAAUCUUUUUCCCCAAUCUCGUCUCUCUCUUUUCUCUCAACACCACGAAGCCGCCAUUGCCGCUCACUGCUUCCACCUCCAACAUCACAACACGACUGUUGCUACACUAAAACAUUGUGCACCGGAGAUUUAGACUCUGAUCAAUGAAUCUGCCUCUUUUCUCCACUCGAAUUCAAUCAGUAAAUAUUUUCUUCACUCCAACCACCGAAUUUGGCUCUAUUUGUUAUUUUUCAGUUUGUGUAUCCGAACAUUGCCUUCGAGUGCAAUAAUUUCAUAGAAGUAUCUUCACUAUUACUUCAAGUAGCUCCCUUCGAGAACUAAUAAUCGAGACCUAUAAACGUAAGAAUACUAACCGAUCACAUGUUCAAGAUCUCAAAGGCGGUUCCUACAAGGUAAUCAAUUGCUGAGAAUUGGCAUUGCUUGGCGUCCCUCGGCCCUAAACCCUCCCCUCCAGUACUCGUGAAGCCUAGAGAUGGUCAAAAUCGCAUUUAGGCUGAAGUGUAGUAGGAAUAGAAGGAUGUCUCAUAGGAAGUUUGAGCACCUUCCACAUGGUUCCUAUGGACUUUUAUCCAAAGAAACGUGUUGCUCUCCAUAGAGGGAUUUCACCAAAGAUGACCCAACCAAACCAUGCAAGCUACCUACUUUCUUUGGUUACAAGGAUGUGAUGACUUAUAUUAUCAUAGAUGACUUAUAUUGUCAUAAACUUUGAUCUUGUCAAGACACUCUUCUUUUCCUAGAAUUAAAGGGAGGUCAACAACUAUAUUUAUACAAAAAAGGAAACUAGAGUAGAAAAUCCUAUUUAGACUAUAUUACAAUCUUCAUUUAGUUGACUAAACCUCUUCAUAUAUCUUGUAUUCAUUUAGUUUUGAUGAAAACUAAUUACCAUUGUUUUGUUGUGGUUUUCAAGGGUAAUACCAAAGGGUAUAUUAAUGGCUAUGCGGAUAAUAAUACUUACUAUCUAACUCGUUACAAGCCACUUACAGGUGUAAGAGGCUAUGUAUCACCACAACUGAUAAUGAGAUAAAUGAUCAAAGUUCUGAGUUAUAAUAACUAAUAUCCCAACUAAAGGAGGUCAAUGUGGUCAUGCACAAAGUACUAAAGAACGAAGUUCUACAAAGUGUUGAAGAAUAGAGUUAUAGGCAAGGAAUCUCGAACUGAAGAUGGAGUUUUUUCAACACAAGCAGCUGGGUCAGCAACUAAGAAAGAAUUAAGACAACCAGAUGUGUUGAAGAGCCAAGAUGGAUACAAAUAGAAGACAUGUAAUGUGACCACAUGUCUAGAUUUUAUUCCAUGUCUUGACAAUAUUGGAACCCUUAGAAAAAAUCAGACUACACUCAACUAUGAACACAGAGAAUGUCAUUGUCCUGUUGAAUCCCCUAUAUGCCUUGUCCCUCUUCCUCAAGGAUAUAAGAUCCCAAUCAGGUGGCCUAGAAGCCAAGACCAGGCUAUAAAUGUUAUUCGAAACAAGUAUGAAAUAGGGAAACAGGAAUGCAUCAAUCUUGAGAAAGAAAAGGCUGAAAAAGUAGUUGUAGAUAUGGAAAAGAAAAGUGAACAAAAGCUUUCAGAUUGCAAAGAGAAAGCAAAGUUGGAAUUGUUGAAGAUUUAGAGAGAAUACACUGAUUUGAUUAAUAAAAUUACGGUGGAGAAUGAGAAGAAGGAAGAGAGUCUAAAAUGUAACCACUCUAAAGAGUUAAAAAGGUGAAACUCCAGGCUGAGAAUAAACUCAAUGAGGAAAUUGCUACUAUUGAUUAUGAAGUAUGACAUAACAUAAUAUAAUCAACCUAGCAUCAAGCAUGGGAUAGAAAUUCAUCUGCAAUUAAGCUUCAAGUUUCUUUUUUUUAACUUUUUUUUUUCGGUUCCAUAUUUAGACUUAUUUAAUUCAAAAAGGUAAAAAUAUUGAUGAAAAACAAUGAAUUUUUUAUUAUUUUCUAUAUGCUACAGUUUAUCA